AUCCUGGCUCAGGAUGAACGCUAGCUACAGGCUUAACACAUGCAAGUCGAGGGGAAACGAUAUUGGAAGCUUGCUUCUGAUAGGCGUCGACCGGCGCACGGGUGAGUAACGCGUAUCCAACCUGCCCAUCACUUGGGGAUAACCUUGUGAAAGUAAGACUAAUACCCAAUGACGUCUCUAGAAGACAUCUGAAAGAGAUUAAAGAUUUAUCGGUGAUGGAUGGGGAUGCGUCUGAUUAGCUUGUUGGCGGGGUAACGGCCCACCAAGGCGACGAUCAGUAGGGGGUUCUGAGAGGAAGGUCCCCCACAUUGGAACUGAGACACGGUCCAAACUCCUACGGGAGGCAGCAGUGAGGAAUAUUGGUCAAUGGACGAGAGUCUGAACCAGCCAAGUAGCGUGCAGGAAGACGGCCCUAUGGGUUGUAAACUGCUUUAUAAGGGAAUAAAGUGAGUCUCGUGAGACUUUUGCAUGUACCUUAUGAAUAAGGACCGGCUAAUUCCGUG
rnacentral:rRNA from 1 species